rfam:Picea glauca, whole genome shotgun sequence.
GUAACGGUGUCUUUAGACACCACCUUUUGUCUUCAAAAACUUUAUU